rnacentral:rRNA from 1 species
GACGAACGCUGGCGGCGUGCUUAACACAUGCAAGUCGAGCGGAGCGGCGAACGGGUGAGUAACUCGUGAGUAACUGCCCCCCUCUCUGGGUUCACAGUUGGAAACGGCUGCUAAUACCGGAUAGUGGGGGAUGAGUCGCGUCCUAUCAGCUUGUUGUUGGGGUAGUGGCCUACCAAGGCGACUACGGGUAGCCGGCCUUAGAGGGCGACCGGACAAUGUGGGCCGCGAUGAGGCCCAAAAUAAAACGGGAGGAGGCAGUGGGGAAGAAUGCACAAUGGGGGAAAGCAUGAUGCAGGAACGACGCGUGCGGGAGGACGGACGUCGGGUUGUAAACCGCUUGCAGCCAUGACGCGGUAGUAGCAGAAGAAGCACCGGCUAACUACGUGCCAGCAGAGGCGGUAAUAC